GACGAACGCUGGCGGCGUGCUUAACACAUGCAAGUCGAACGGAAAGGCCCUGCUCUUGUGGGGUGCUCGAGUGGCGAACAGGUGAGUAACACGUGAGUAACCUGCCCUUGUCUUUGGGAUAACUCCAGGAAACUGGGGCUAAUACCGGAUAUGAGCUCCUGCUGCAUGGUGGUGGUUGGAAAGUUUUGGCGGUUGUGGCUGGACUCGCUGCUCAUCCGCUUGUUUGUGGGGUAGUGGCUUACCAAGGCUUCGACGGGUAGCCGGCCUGAGAGGGUUACCGGCCACAUUGGGACUGAGAUACGGCCCAGACGCCUACGGGAGGCAGCAGUGGGGAAUAUUGCACAAUGGGCGGAAGCCUGAUGCAGCAACGCCGCGUGCGGGAUGACGGCCUUCGGGUUGUAAACCGCUUUCGCCUGUGACGAAGCGUGAGUGACGGUAAUGGGUAAAGAAGCACCGGCUAACUACGUG
rnacentral:rRNA from 1 species